UUAGGAAACUGACGGUUGCUCUUACUGGCCUACGCGCCGCUUCCGACGCCCCGGCACCGGCCCGGCUCUGUUGCUUUGUAGCAUUCUGCAGCUGGGCCGCAGGCGACGUGGGCCUCCGCCAGUUGUGUUGGAGACGCGGUUCGUCCACAGAAGUUUUAGCUGUGUGACUUUGGGCAAGUCAGUGGCCCUCUCUGGGCCUUAGGUGCCUUUUUUGCUGUGAGGCCGGCGACUGUAUUUUUAACCCUGAUUUUAUCCCUAGAUCUACCCAACACAUAGUAGGUUCUCAAAAGAUAUUUAUAAGUGAAUGAAUGCAUCAUGAGAAGAAAUUGGACCAGAUGAGGCCCUGUGAAGCUGCCUGAGUUUUUUGUUGUUGUUGUUGUUGUUCUCUUUUUUUUUUCUCUCUCUCUCUUCUGAGUGUCCCUGGCCUGAACUAGAAAUUAUCCAUCCUUCGGCCUUCUGUGAGACUGCAGGAACAUUACUUUUGAAGGAUGCUAAGGAAUUCGAGGGAUGAAAAAAAUCAAGGGAUUGCAAUGAUGUCACAAAACAAGGAAACAAGCGCAACAUAUUCAUUUCAAAGCAUAAAUUUGCCAACAAAGCACCCUCUUUUUAUCAGAAAAUAAAAUAUCCUGGUUUCUUAGCUUGGCA